AGUGAACGCUGGCGGUAGGCCUAACACAUGCAAGUCGAACGGCAGCACAGUAAGAGCUUGCUCUUACGGGUGGCGAGUGGCGGACGGGUGAGGAAUACAUCGGAAUCUACUUUUUCGUGGGGGAUAACGUGGGGAAACUUACGCUAAUACCGCAUACGACCUACGGGUGAAAGCAGGGGAUCUUCGGACCUUGCGCGAUUGAAUGAGCCGAUGCGGGAUUAGCUAGUUGGCGGGGUAAAGGCCCACCAAGGGGACGAUCCGUAGCUGGUCUGAGAGGAGGAUCGGCCACACGAGAACUGGAACACGGUCCAGACUCCUACGGGAGGCAGCAGUGUGGAAUAUUGGACAAUGGGCGCAAGCCUGAUCCAGCCAGACCGCGUGGGUGAAGAAGGCCUUCGGGUUGUAAAGCCGUUUUGUUGGGAAAGAAAAGCAGCAGGUUAAUACCCCGCUGUUCUGACGGUAACCAAAGAAUAAGCACCGGCUAACUUCGUG
rnacentral:rRNA from 1 species